CUCCCCGUAGCGCAACAGGAUAGCGCACCGGCCUCCUAAGCCGUUGAUGCAGGUUCGAGUCCUGCCGGGGAGGCCA
rnacentral:tRNA from 1 species